GGAAGUAAAAGCGUAACAAGGUUUCCGUAGGUGAACCUGCGGAAGGAUCAUUAUUGUAUAACCGAGGUGCGAGGGCUGUCGCUGACCCGAAAGGUCGUGCACGCCCGAGUGCCCUCACACACAUCCAUCUCACCCCUAUGUGCACCACCGCGUGGGUCCCCCUUUGGCUUGUUCGGAGGGGGGCUUACGUUUUCACACAAACUUUGUAUGCAGUGUAGAAUGUAUUUUUUGUUUUUGCGAUCACGCAAUCAAUAUAACUUUCAACAACGGAUCUCUUGGCUCUC
rnacentral:misc_RNA from 1 species